UACAGAGGGUGCAAGCGUUAAUCGGAAUUACUGGGCGUAAAGCGUGCGUAGUCGGUUAUUUAAGUCGGGUGUGAAAGCCCCCGGGCUCAACCUGGGAAUUGCAUUCGAUACUGGAUAGCUAGAGUUCGGCAGAGGGAAGCGGAAUUUCCGGUGUAGCGGUGAAAUGCGUAGAUAUCGGAAGGAACAUCAGUGGCGAAAGCGGCUUCCUGGACCAGAACUGACGAUCAGGCACGAAAGCGUGGGGAGCAAACAGG
rnacentral:rRNA from 1 species